rnacentral:rRNA from 1 species
UAUGUGAUCGUCUCUCGCAUAUCAAUAAGCGGAGGAAAAGAAACUAACAAGGAUUCCCCUAGUAACGGCGAGUGAAGCGGGAAGAGCUCAAAUUUGAAAUCUUAAAGGGUUUCCCUUUACGAAUUGUAGUUUAAAGAAGUGUUUUCUGUUGAGGUUUUGGUAAAAGUUCUUUGGAAUAGGACAUCAUAGAGGGUGAGAAUCCCGUAUUUGACCUUUACUUUCAACUUUGUGAUACACUUUCAAAGAGUCGGAUUGUUUGGGAAUGCAGUCCAAAAUGGGUGGUAAAUUUCAUCUAAAGCUAAAUAUUGGCGAGAGACCGAUAGCGAACAAGUACCGUGAGGGAAAGAUGAAAAGAACUUUGAAAAGAGAGUUAAACAGUACGUGAAAUUGUCAAAAGGGAAGCGUUUGACACCAAUGUUGUUUUUCUGAAAAUCAAUUAAAGAACUGUUUAUGCUAAGUUGUUUAGACUUUAUCAGCUAACUGUUUAGUUUUGAGCUUUUCUUUAAUGCACUUUUCAGUUAACAAGUCAACAUCAAUUUCUUUUGCUGUAAAAAAGCUUGAGGAAGGUGGCUUGAGAUUCGUCUUAAGUGUUUAUAGCCUCUUGCCUAUGCAGUCGGAGAGAUUGAGGUCUGCAGCGUAGAUCCUUCGGGGCUAAAUGCAUUUGUGCUAAGUUAUAGCAUUUUAUAGACAACUUGUUGACUAUGAUUUGUCUUGUAGCUUACUCGCUUAUGUUAUUUUACCUACGCUUAGGAUGUUGAAGUCAUCGUAUCGCGC